UACGGGGGGGGCAAGCGUUGUUCGGAAUUACUGGGCGUAAAGGGCUCGUAGGUGGCCAACUAAGUCAGACGUGAAAUCCCUCGGCUUAACCGGGGAACUGCGUCUGAUACUGGAUGGCUUGAGUGCAGGACAGGAAUGCGGAAUUCCAGGUGUAGCGGUGAAAUGCGUAGAUAUCUGGAGGAACACCGGUGGCGAAGGCGGCAUCCUGGACCGGUAUUGACGCUGAGGCGCGAAAGCCAGGGGAGCAAACGGG
rnacentral:rRNA from 1 species